UGAUUUUCCUAUUUGUUACCUGAAAACAAAGGAGACAUUCCACUGAAAACAUUGAAGUGUGCGCAGUACGAUCGAGGAAUCCAACAAAGCAUUAUAACCCUGUCUUCCAGCUUACAGGCCAAGGCUCUCGGUGUCUGGGGCAGUGUUAAUACCAUGGAUAGAGCAGAGCAUGUAACAUUUUUCUUUUGUUCUACAGGGAACCUUACUAAAAGCAUUUGAGACUGCGCUCACCAAAACCUCUAAAACACGUUAAGAAUAACAUGAGUUGAACAACAUUACCCCAGCUCACUGUGUGACCUUGUAGUUGCUUACCAGUUCCACGUAUUCUCCAGUGAUGUUCCCGUCAAACAUCUGGAACUUCCCUCCCUUUUCAGCUUCUAAUACAGCCGGAGAUUUGGAGAAUCCUUGCACCAACUAGCAACAAAACAGACACAUUAUUGCAGUCUAUGCUGUCACCCUGUGCACAUGGCGAGAACAUCAGGGUCUUCCGUGACCGAUGAGCACCACUUGACCAGUGAUGUAGUUGGGCUUGGUUUGACUUCUGUUGGACACAGAGCUUUUGCUAACAAAUAAAAUGCAAAGCUUUCUUCUUUAUAGAGGAGAGAAAGCCGUAUUAACCACCAAGUGCCGAUAACACCACGUGUGCCCAUCAUUGUCCCCGUAAGUUACUCGGAAGGCAUCCCUGGCCAGUGUCCCUGUUCCAUCAAAAACAGCCUGUGUUCUUUAUGAUGUAUCUUCAUGUUGUAGAGCAGUUUAAGAUGUUACUUACUUCUUUUACAGUGAAGAUACUGUACAGCUGUUCCACUGUCGUGUCAAACAGCUCUGUCAAGUGCAAAGCUACUGUGGGAAUCCUCACACCCAGUGCCACUGGAGAAGCCUGCAUCUCAGAUUAGAAAGGCAUUCAAGAUGGUGAGCAGAUCCAGAGAGAAUGGCAGAACAGCAUGAAAGGCCUCUGCUCCCCAACACGUGUUCCCAUGAGCACUCUACCUCUGCUCCAUUCCUAGGCUAUGGCUCAAUACUCUGCCCUGUUCAGAGGGGCCCAGGACAUGACCACGGGAAGAGAGACUACUAAACCCAAGUAAGACAACAGGGUGUUAACUGCACAUAUACAUUCCCAUUCCCCAAUUCUAGAAAGAAUUCCCCACACUCUCCUAAUGCCAAGCUUCAUCACAAUAUCUGACCUUCAGAGGCGCCAGCUUAACUGAAGCAGGAGGAUCAUCAUGAAUCUAAGGUCAGGCUAUUAAUAGUUUGGAUGAAAUGCAGGUAUUUCUGCAAGGCCUCAUCAAGAACUGGAACCGUGGGCUAAAGGUGAUCAGAAUCCUGCCCAGCACAUACCAGCCUGCACACUCGGCACCACACCUACCCACCCGGCACAAUACCAAAAAGCUGCACUUUGUCAUUUCCACAAAAAGACAUCAGCAUCUUAAGAGGAAAUGUGUGGAUCAACACCCGUUCCUCAUCUACAACCCAAGUUCAUGAAAAGGCUGUGGGGAACUCACUAAGGGUGUCGUCGUCGUCCGUCCGGUGUGUCGUCGUGUCGUGUCUCCCCCCCACCCCCUCCCCGUGCAGCCACAGGCUCGUACCUGCAAUGCGUUUUCAGUCAGUUUCCUCUCAAGAGUCAGGGCCUGGGUCGCUCCGGCUUUUGUUGGUAAGAUCAUUCCUGUUGUAAAUUCUGUAAGGAAACAAACUUUAUUAACCU
rnacentral:lncRNA from 1 species